rnacentral:rRNA from 1 species
CAGUGGGGAAUCUUGCGCAAUGGGCGAAAGCCUGACGCAGCCAUGCCGCGUGAAUGAUGAAGGUCUUAGGAUUGUAAAAUUCUUUCACCGGGGACGAUAAUGACGGUACCCGGAGAAGAAGCCCCGGCUAACUUCGUGCCAGCAGCCGCGGUAAUACGAAGGGGGCUAGCGUUGCUCGGAAUUACUGGGCGUAAAGGGCGCGUAGGCGGAUCGUUAAGUCAGAGGUGAAAUCCCAGGGCUCAACCCUGGAACUGCCUUUGAUACUGGCGAUCUUGAGUAUGAGAGAGGUAUGUGGAACUCCGAGUGUAGAGGUGAAAUUCGUAGAUAUUCGGAAGAACACCAGUGGCGAAGGCGACAUACUGGCUCAUUACUGACGCUGAGGCGCGAAAGCGUGGGGAGCAAACAGGAUUAGAUACCCUGGUAGUCCACGCCGUAAACG